CCGAGUUUACAACUCCCAACCCCCUGUGAACAUACCACUUGUUGCCUCGGCGGAUCAGCCCGCUCCCGGUAAAACGGGACGGCCCGCCAGAGGACCCCUAAACUCUGUUUCUAUAUGUAACUUCUGAGUAAAACCAUAAAUAAAUCA
rnacentral:misc_RNA from 1 species